rnacentral:rRNA from 1 species
CUUGGUCAUUUAGAGGAAGUAAAAGUCGUAACAAGGUUUCCGUAGGUGAACCUGCGGAAGGAUCAUUAUUGAAUAAAUCUGAUUAGUUGUAGCUGGCUCUCCGGAGCAUGUGCACACUAGUCACCUUUAUCUUUCCACCUGUGAACACACUGUAGUCCUGGAUACCUCUCGCCGCAAGGCGGAUGCGUGGUCUGCUGUGCUGCUUGAAAGAGCGGUCGGCUUACUUCGAAUUUCCAGGUCUAUGAUUAUACAAACCCCAAAUGAAUGUUACAGAAUGUUAUCAUCAGGCCUUGUGCCUAUAAACCUAUACAACUUUCAGCAACGGAUCUCUUGGCUCUCGCAUCGAUGAAGAACGCAGCGAAAUGCGAUAAGUAAUGUGAAUUGCAGAAUUCAGUGAAUCAUCGAAUCUUUGAACGCACCUUGCGCUCCUUGGUAUUCCGAGGAGCAUGCCUGUUUGAGUGUUAUUAAAUUCUCAACCUCACCAUUUUUGUAAUGAGAAUGUGUGUAGGCUUGGAUGUGGGGGUUGCAGGUCCACUCUGUGGUCUGCUCCUCUGAAAUGUAUUAGUGGGUUUGGUCCCCUAUCUAUUGGUGUGAUAAUUAUCUACGCCGUGGACUGGAAGACUAUUAUGAACCUGCUUCUAACCGUCCCUUACCGGACAACAAUUGACAUUUUUGACCUCAAAUCAGGUAAGACUACCCGCUGAACUUAAGCAUAUCAAUAAGCGGAGGA